AAAAAGGUACUUCUGUAACACGCAGCCCGGCCGCAGAGAAGGCGGGUGGCUGAAACGCCAAUGG
rnacentral:ncRNA from 1 species